AGGUAGGAAUACCCCGUGAACUU
rnacentral:rRNA from 1 species